GUCAUAUGCUUGUCUCAAAGAUUAAGCCAUGCAUGUCUCAGUACAAGCCAAAUUAAGGUGAAACCGCGAAAGGCUCAUUAAAUCAGUUAUGGUUCCUUAGAUCGUACCCACAAUUACUUGGAUAACUGUGGUAAUUCUAGAGCUAAUACAUGCAAACAGAGCUCCGACCGGAGACGGAAGGAGUGCUUUUAUUAGAUCAAAACCAAUCGGUGUCGGGUUCGCUCGUUACCGUACAACUUGGUGACUCUGAAUAACUUUACGCUGAUCGCACGGUCAUCGCACCGGCGACGCAUCUUUCAAAUGUCUGCCUUAUCAACUGUCGAUGGUAGGUUCUGCGCCUACCAUGGUUGUAACGGGUAACGGGGAAUCAGGGUUCGAUUCCGGAGAGGGAGCCUGAGAAACGGCUACCACAUCCAAGGAAGGCAGCAGGCGCGCAAAUUACCCACUCCCGGCACGGGGAGGUAGUGACGAAAAAUAACGAUACGGGACUCAUCCGAGGCCCCGUAAUCGGAAUGAGUACACUCUAAACCCUUUAACGAGGAUCAAUUGGAGGGCAAGUCUGGUGCCAGCAGCCGCGG
rnacentral:rRNA from 1 species